CCAUGUUGUAAAUGAGCAUAAUAUAUGCUGGUAGCCUGGCUACAUUUCACAGCAAGCUGCAGCACUGAAAAAUUCUUCCAAAUUCUGCAUUUCAGCAUAAGCUGCCUCAGAAUCAUGAAAGUCACAGGAACAAAUCUUGGCUCCCACAUUGGCUUUGGGCUCCUCUGCAGUCUGACCCUCCAGUGCUCCAGUCACUCCCAC
rnacentral:lncRNA from 1 species